UGCCGCCGCCGCGGUAAUACAGAGGGUGCAAGCGUUAAUCGGAAUCACUGGGCGUAAAGCGCACGUAGGCGGAUAAGUAUGUUGGCUGUGAAAGCCCCGGGCUCAACCUGGGAAUGCCAGCCAAAACUGCUUGUCUAGAGUACAGUAGAGGAGAGUGGAAUUUCAGGUGUAGCGGUGAAAUGCGUAGAUAUCUGAAGGAACACCAGUGGCGAAGGCGACUCUCUGGCCUGAUACUGACGCUGAGGUGCGAAAGCGUGGGGAGCGAACAGGAUUAGAUA
rnacentral:rRNA from 1 species